CAAGAUGGGAAAAUCAUAUUGCAACCCACAGGCAUUUGGAAACAAUUUGUGCCGAAGACAGAAAGUACACCUAACGUUAAGCUGAAAAAACUGGACGCUCCCAGCAAACUCACUUUGCAGAUUCCUGGAUGUCAGAAGAAAAUGCCAGAGGAUUUCACUUGGCAUUGACCCCUUACUACUUCCAGCCACUUACCCUGGACAGUAGAAAGAAGGAACAGAAAGCAGGGUAGCUUAAGAGGAGUAAGUACCAAUGGCUGUGGGACUUCAAAUCACCACCUAAGAUUACUUCUUUGAUUUCUGAAAAAGUAGGUCAAAGGAAGACAUCAGGGCUUUGUUACAGGGUCAACUUCUCGGUGCAUGGCUCCUUCCAGUCUGAUAAGAACCAUCCCUCAGCCUUCAGACGAACAGGGCCUUGUUUUCACCGUCAACGCACAGAUCUGAGGGCGGCCUAGUGAGCACAUCCCCCUGCCUCCCCCCACCGCAGGAGUGUUUGUGUUGGAGGAGGGAGUGUUAAAUUCCAACCUCAGUACAACUCUUGAAGACUCUGCCAGUUCAGUGCUGGAGCAGAGGUACUGAAUGAGGAAGUGGAGUCUUGGGAUACCUUUGGAGGGAUCCACAGUUAAUGGACUGGCUGCUAUAAUUGGUCUGAGACACUGGUGCAAGCAUGGAGAUGACGACACAAAUACUAUCCAGAGGGAUGACCAGGUGAAGAAUGACCAGGUGAAGACACAAAAAGAAGACUCCCAUCUACAAGCCAAGGAGAGAGGCCUCAGAAGAAACCUGUCUGGAUGGAGGGAGAGGGAAACAAAGAACAAAAGUGGCUAAGAUGGCGUACUUCCGGGUUCUUCAUCACCAACUUUUCCCGCGCGCGCAAAAAUGUAGCCGGCACCCGGGAAGGUGCAGAUCAACUGGGCAUGCGCCAGGUGACGUCAAUCUGAAGAGACCGAGAUUUACCUGGCCACACCUAUGGAAUGCCCCCCAACAGGCCCGUGUCCCACCUAUUGCCCUCCCACUCCCAGAAAAGCCGCUCCCGGCAGGCGCGCCACGCAAACGUCCUUGGCCCCUACUCAUAGGCGGGCCCAGGAACCUCGCCCGAGAAUGCCGGAGCAACUUCCUCUGCCUCCGCCGCCGGAGACCGGUGAACCUCGCCUCCUCUUUCUA